rnacentral:tRNA from 1 species
GCGCCGGUGGUAUAAGGCAUAGCAUCGCUGCGCGGAAAGCAGAAGACACGGGUUCGAGUCCCGCCUGGCGCA